GGAUGUGGGGGUGAUCUGGCUGCGACAUCUGUCACCCCAUUGAUAGCCAGGGUCAACUUCCUCCCUCACUGCUCCAUGUCCGUCCCUCCGGAAGCUGCGCGCUGGGUGGAAGGGUAUGGCCUUCCCCUAAUAGAGACUGACCAGUCUUCGGUGGAGGGUAUAUGAGUAGCUGCGCUCUCCUGCUAGAACCUCCAAACGAGCUCUCAAGGUCCAUUUGUAACCAUCUUGCCUUAUUUGUUUGUUUGUUUAUUCAUUUAUGUUCCCUU
rnacentral:snRNA from 1 species